UACGGAGGGGACUAGCGUUGUUCGGAAUUACUGGGCGUAAAGCGCACGUAGGCGGAUUUGUAAGUCAGGGGUGAAAUCCCGGGGCUCAACCUCGGAACUGCCUUUGAUACUGCAAAUCUCGAGUCCGGGAGAGGUGAGUGGAAUUCCUAGUGUAGAGGUGAAAUUCGUAGAUAUUAGGAAGAACACCAGUGGCGAAGGCGGCUCACUGGUCCGGUACUGACACUGAGGUGCGAAAGCGUGGGGAGCAAACAGG
rnacentral:rRNA from 1 species